GUUAAAUUCUAAGCACAGUUCCACCUUCCGGCUGCUGCCAGGAAUCCCCUCCCCAGACCUCUGGGAGGAACAGGUGGAGGAGAGGGACUGUCCGACCAGCACCUUUCUUGUGGGCCCUUGGGGUGAGAAGUCUCCCGGAGACGGAGACCGGUGCUGUGCCGCGUGCUGGUAGGUCACCACGCAGCGCCAAGUGACGGAGAGGACAGUGCACACCGGAAGCACCGGCGGCUUGCUCUGGGCUCUGGGUGCAUCUGGGCGAAGCUGGCCUGAUGAUCGGGAGCUGAGGCGCUGUCCCCUCCCUGUCAGUCGGCGUCAGGGACUCCUCCCUCCCUCCCCUCAACCCCGAAGCUGGUGCAGCCCGGCUCCUGCUGCCUAGGAGGGGGCCCUGGGCUCCCAGCGCCCUCUUCCUGCAACUGCGUCCUCUCUCCUCUCCCGGGCCCCUGCUCCUUCCCCGGGCUGGACUUGUGCCAUGGAUCUGUGGCCCUGCGAUGGCCUGGAGCCCUGGGUGCGGAUGAGGUGUGGCCCUCGGGACACCUAGUGGACCCUCUGUGUCGCCUGAGCCCGGCCCUAGCUGAAAACAGGUACACAUCUAUGGAGAGAACAGUACAUAUAGGGCUGGCUGCUAUCUGUGGCUUCAGAUAUCCACUGGGGUCUUGGAACAUAAUGAGAAAUGUAAUUUAUUCAAAUACGGUCAUGUCAUCUUCUUCUGGACCUUCGUCCUAACUCUCCGAACCCCGAAUUCCAGCCUCAGUCUUGCAACUCCAUUUCCUGUAGAACCAUCGGCCCAGUCCCUCAUGUCCAGCAGUAGAGCUCUCCUUAAAUGAGCGCUUCUCGUCCAUGUAGCCUGCUGGUAGCACAUUGGCAACAGAGCUGUCGGUGAUUUUAUCCCAUGAAUUCUUCACCCAAGUCACGACCUACCUCCUACAGGCUGGCUUCACAAAGCUUCCAUUAAAUCAAGUGUUAAUCGAAGACUCACGACACAGGAGUGGUGACAAAAAUGAUGACAGUUAAGAAUGAAGGUCCACAUGAAAGUGAUGAAAAAUUGCAGGC
rnacentral:lncRNA from 1 species